CCUACGGGAGGCAGCAGUAGGGAAUCUUCCACAAUGGGCGAAAGCCUGAUGGAGCAACGCCACGUGGGUGAAGAAGGUCUUCGGAUCGUAAAACCCUGUUGUUAGAGAAGAAAGUGCGUGAGAGUAACUGUUUACGUUUCGACGGUAUCUAACCAGAAAGCCACGGCUAACUACGUGCCAGCAGCCGCGGUAAUACGUAGGUGGCAAGCGUUAUCCGGAUUUAUUGGGCGUAAAGGGAACGCAGGCGGUCUUUUAAGUCUGAUGUGAAAGCCUUCGGCUUAACCGGAGUAGUGCAUUGGAAACUGGGAGACUUGAGUGCAGAAGAGGAGAGUGGAACUCCAUGUGUAGCGGUGAAAUGCGUAGAUAUAUGGAAGAACACCAGUGGCGAAAGCGGCUCUCUGGUCUGUAACUGACGCUGAGGUUCGAAAGCGUGGGUAGCAAACAGGAUUAGAUACCCUUGUAGUC
rnacentral:rRNA from 1 species